rnacentral:misc_RNA from 1 species
UCCAAACGAAAAAGAUCCUGUGAUCUCGAGGACAUGUCUAGGGGUGCAGCUCAUGCUCACCGGUUUCUGAAAGCGUUCUCUGAUUUGCCACUAGAGACUAUGGAUUUGAAGGAGGCUCUGCACCAAGUAAGCAAGCUGAAGAAUGACUUGGAGAGGGAUGCAGCAAAUUGCCGCUGGCUCAAGCAAUUUUUCUAGUUGUCCUUGCAACAACACAGGUAGCAGUAUUUGCAUGUUGGAUGUUUUAUAAGGUCGAUGAAAGUAUCAGGCACUAAAAUGCUCCACUUCCCUCCAAUUUUGUGUGAAUAAAGUAAAUAUCAAAUGCAAAAGUAUGCAAUAGGAGGAAGCAGGC